UACAGAGGGUGCAAGCGUUGUUCGGAAUUAUUGGGUGUAAAGCGCGUGUAGGCGGCUUUGCAAGUCGGGUGUGAAAGCCCUCGGCUCAACCGAGGAAGUGCGCCCGAAACUGCAGAGCUUGAGUAUCGGAGAGGGUGGCGGAAUUCCCCAAGUAGAGGUGAAAUUCGUAGAUAUGGGGAGGAACACCGGUGGCGAAGGCGGCCACCUGGACGGAUACUGACGCUGAGACGCGAAAGCGUGGGGAGCAAACAGG
rnacentral:rRNA from 1 species